GAUGAACGCUGGCGGCGUGCCUAAUACAUGCAAGUCGAGCGAACGGACGAGAAGCUUGCUUCUCUGAUGUUAGCGGCGGACGGGUGGGUAACACGUGGAUAACCUACCUAUAAGACUGGGAUAACUUCGGGAAACCGGAGCUAAUACCGGAUAAUAUUUUGAUCCGCAUGGUUCAAAAGUGAAAGACGGUCUUGCUGUCACUUAUAGAUGGAUCCGCGCUGCAUUAGCUAGUUGGUAAGGUAACGGCUUACCAAGGCAACGAUGCAUAGCCGACCUGAGAGGGUGAUCGGCCACACUGGAACUGAGACACGGUCCAGACUCCUACGGGAGGCAGCAGUAGGGAAUCUUCCGCAAUGGGCGAAAGCCUGACGGAGCAACGCCGCGUGAGUGAUGAAGGUCUUCGGAUCGUAAAACUCUGUUAUUAGGGAAGAACAUAUGUGUAAGUAACUGUGCACAUCUUGACGGUACCUAAUCAGAAAGCCACGGCUAACUACGUG
rnacentral:rRNA from 1 species